rnacentral:rRNA from 1 species
CACUCCUGCGGGAGGCAGCAGUGGGGAAUUUUGGACAAUGGGCGAAAGCCUGAUCCAGCCAUGCCGCGUGCAGGAUGAAGGCCUUCGGGUUGUAAACUGCUUUUGUACGGAACGAAACGGCCUUUUCUAAUAAAGAGGGCUAAUGACGGUACCGUAAGAAUAAGCACCGGCUAACUACGUGCCAGCAGCCGCGGUAAUACGUAGGGUGCAAGCGUUAAUCGGAAUUACUGGGCGUAAAGCGUGCGCAGGCGGUUAUGUAAGACAGUUGUGAAAUCCCCGGGCUCAACCUGGGAACUGCAUCUGUGACUGCAUAGCUAGAGUACGGUAGAGGGGGAUGGAAUUCCGCGUGUAGCAGUGAAAUGCGUAGAUAUGCGGAGGAACACAGAUGGCGAAGGCAAUCCCCUGGACCUGUACUGACGCUCAUGCACGAAAGCGUGGGGAGCAAACAGGAUUAGAAACCCUUGUAGUCCCAUG